rnacentral:tRNA from 1 species
GCCUGGGUGGCUCAGUCGGUUGAGCAGCUGACUUCAGCUCAGGUUGUGAUCUCAAAGCUUGUGAGUUCAAGCCCCGCAUCAGGCU